GUAAUAGAUCUGAUCUGUUGUUUAAUACAUACAUUAGAUAUAGUAUAGAAACAUAUUGAUAUGAUCAAUAUGUAGUUCAUGCUCUAUAUAUUUUAAUGUUUGAUUUAAUGCUAUGUAAUAAUCAUGUAAUAAAAUUUUAGAUCUAUGGAUUCUCUAGUUUUAAAAAAUAAAUUUUGAUUUAUUUUAGUCUUCCACUGCUUGAUCUUGAAAAAGUUUCAAGAUCUAAUCCUGAAACCCU
rnacentral:lncRNA from 1 species